rnacentral:rRNA from 1 species
UGGGGAAUAUUGGACAAUGGACCAAGAGUCUGAUCCAGCAAUUCUGUGUGCACGAUGAAGUUUUUCGGAAUGUAAAGUGCUUUCAGUUGGGAAGAAAAAAAUGACGGUACCAACAGAAGAAGUGACGGCUAAAUACGUGCCAGCAGCCGCGGUAAUACGUAUGUCACGAGCGUUAUCCGGAUUUAUUGGGCAUAAAGCGCGUCUAGGUGGUUAUAUAAGUCUGAUGUGAAAAUGCAGGGCUCAACUCUGUAUUGCGUUGGAAACUGUAUAACUAGAGUACUGGAGAGGUAAGCGGAACUACAAGUGUAGAGGUGAAAUUCGUAGAUAUUUGUAGGAAUGCCGAUGGGGAAGCCAGCUUACUGGACAGAUACUGACGCUGAAGCGCGAAAGCGUGGGUAGCAAACAGGAUUAGAUACCCUGGUAGUCCACGCCGUAAACGAUGAUUACUAGGUGUUGGGGGUCAAACCUCAGCGCCCAAGCAAAUGCGAUAAGUAAUCCGCCUGGGGAGUACGUACGCAAGUAUG